rnacentral:rRNA from 1 species
GGACGAACGCUGGCGGCGUGCUUAACACAUGCAAGUCGAACGCGAAAGUUCCUUCGGGGAUGAGUAGAGUGGCGUCCGGGUGAGUAACGCGUGGGUAAUCUGCCUUUGGGUGGGGAACUAACCCAGGGAAACUUGGGCUAAUACCGCAUAAUGCAGCGGCUCGACAUCGAGACGGUUGUAAAGCAGCAAUGUGCCUGGAGAGGAGCCUGCGUCUGAUUAGCUAGUUGGUAAGGAAUGGCUUACC